CGCGUAGGCGGCUAGAAAAGUCAGAUGUGAAAUUCCGGGGCUCAACCCCGGAGCUGCAUUUGAAACUUUCUGGCUAGAGGGAACUUAGGGAAAACGGAAUUCCACGUGUAGCGGUGAAAUGCGUAGAUAUGUGGAAGAACACCAGUGGUGAAGACGGUUUUCUAGGGUUUUCCUGACGCUGAGGCGCGAAAGCUAGGGGAGCAAACA
rnacentral:rRNA from 1 species